AAUUCUAUUUUUAGUUUUCUGAGGAACCUCCAUACUGUUUUCCAAAGUAGCUGCACCAAUUUACAUUCCCACCAACAGUUUAAGAAGGUUCCCUUUUCUCCACACUCUCCCCAGCAUUUAUUAUUUUAGACUUUUUAAUGAUGGCCUUUCUGACUGGUGUGAGGCGAUACCUCAUUGCAUUUGCAUUUCUCUAAUAAUUAGCAAUGAUGAGCAUCUUUACAUGUGCCCAUUAGCCAUUUGUAUGUCUUCUUUGGAGAAAUGUCUAGUUAGGUCUUUUGCCCAUUUUUCAAUUGGGUUGUUUGUUUAGUUAUUGAGUUGUCUGAGCUGUUUGUAUAUUUUUGAAAUUAAGCCCUCAUUGGAUGCUUCAUUUGCAAAUAUUUUAUCCUAGUCCAUAAGCUGUCUUUUCAUUUUGUUUAUGGUUUCCUUUGCUGUGUAAAAGCUUAUAAAUUUAAGCCCUUUUUUUUUUUUUUUUUUUUUUGCUUUUAUUCCUAUUGCCUUGGGUGACUGACCUAAGAAGACAUUGGUACGAUUUAUAAUUUGGGGAUUUGAGAAAGAUAAUGCAGUGCAUGUGCUGUAGCCUACAUGAUGUCCUGCAGCAUCAGUGACAGCAUCCUGUCAUCAAACAUCCUAAUAUUUCUGUAGUGAGAGGUGUGUAUUGCAUAAAUAAAGUAGCCUUGCAUCAACUCAAGACAGCUUUCCCUAUCGAACAAGUUUAUUUCAGAUCAAGGUUUUCUGCCAGAAGAGUUAUAAAUAUAGUUUUUGGCCUUUGGAGCUUUUAUGAUUUUGAAAUUGUGGAACUGUAUUCUCCCUGCUUCUUCAGAUGAAGUGAGGCACAGGGAGGUGAAACAACGUACCCACAUUCGUAACUGGUGGGAGAUGGGGCUGCCCUACUAACCUGACAGCCACUUGAUCUCGAACUCGUACCCCCCCAAAGUCGUGGGACAAGCUGCUGUUAUUCAAGCCCCCAGUCUGUGAUCCCUUGUUUCAGAAUCCCUAGCCAACUAGAAUAACCUCUUUACACAAGUUCUGGGUUCUGGAGAGGAGACCAAUAAAUGUUUAUCUUUAUGAUGGAAGCUUCAGAUUCUUCGUGGAAAAACUAUUAGCCAGUUAGAUGAUCUCUAAGGCCUCUUCCACUUUCCAUUUGUAAUUUUCUGUGAUUAUAACAUAAGGAAAAUUCAGCUCCACUCGUCACUUGUACCAGUGAUCCAGCUCUUCGAGCAUUUCUUGGCUGUUUUAACAUGGGGCCAAUGUAGCAAAAGAAACAAAACAAACCAAGGAACUUCUUUUCCUGUGUUAUGGGUUAUGUCCCUGUACAUUAAAACUGAAACCAUGUGGGCCCUAUUUUGCCUUCUGAUGCUCCUGUUUGUAUGGUCAACUCAGCCGUGAGUUUUUCUGAAUCCCUUUCACUUGGGUCUUCGGGUCUGCUGAGGUUAACCCACUGUUUGGGUGGGGCUACAGAUUUUGCAGAGGAAAGCAAAAAUACUAGAGGUUGUUUUCUGUGGGCUAAGAGUGAAACCCUAUUUAGGCCUGGGAAGUUUGCUUUCUUCAGGUAGAAAUGUGUCCCCACACUGCCAUUUCACUGAGCAGAUAAAAGCAGCUUUAAGAGAGUCUAAAAGGCUGUCAAAUACUCUUUCUGUUUCUAGGAGAAGGCACGGUUAGCCCCAGUGUAGGAAAAAGGUAAAAUGCUGAACAGCUUUCCUCAGGCUUCAGGGAAGGAGGCCCCAUUGUCAAGUGGGUUGGUUCUUGAGGCCUCUGUCUUUAAUUCUACACAUCAAGUCAGAAAGUGAUUUGCUCUAGUUGAGGGGUGGCUCCCAAUUCCCCGUCUGUGGAAACAGGACCUUAAUAGCUGUGGUGUCCAGAGAAAGAACGUUAGGUUUCCUUCCACAGCCCUUUGCAUCAGUUUUCAAGGACGCCUCUCCAACUCCCUGGUGGCUUAGCAGGCUGCCCCCCACUGGCUUCCUAGAAGCCCUUCCUCUGCCAUCUCACCUCCUCGAGGCCAGGGCCCCAUCCCAGAGCCAAGGCUGGCUUUAAAAAUAUGCUGAAGCCUUUUCAUCUCUGCUCCCUGUUCCUAGGACUCUCCCAGGAAUUUCAGGAGAAGUGUGCCUUUUCCUAUCAGAGAUACAGCCUGCUGGAAUUCUGUUGCAAUACAAAAAUGGUUCGGGGUGAGGAGCCUUACUUUGAGGAUCUUAUGGUUGGUGAUUCCAUCCAGUAUCAACAUGGGAGAUUUAAUUAAGAAAGAGCAAGUGCCUAACAGAUGGAGCUGCUCGGAGCAGGAGAGACCACAUCUUGUUCAUUUUUAAAUCCUUGGUGCCUAGCCUAGGCUUGGCACAUAAUAGAUGCUCAAUAAAAUUGUUUGCUGAAUGAAUAGCAUCCUUGUUUUCUUUCUUCCUCAGAAAUGUGUCUGACACGUAUUAACUCCAAGAGUCAUGACCACAGACAAGGUUGGAGAAUGCUUCUGCUUCGUGCUAACUCUCAUGGGUCAUGUCCAAGGAAGAGGUCCUAAAGCCAGGAGGCAGAAGUCCAGGUCCAGGUCCAGGCCGCUAUUCAAGAAACCCUGGGAUCCUCAGCCCCCCUGGGCCUCAGUACCCUCCACUGCAGCACAGAGGUCAUGUUAUCUUCUCUACCCACCUCCCUGGAUGGUUAUGAGAACAUGACGUGACAAUGGAUAUGAAAAUUCUCUGAAAAUUUCAAAGAAUAUGCUGAAGGUAUUAUUUUUUAUUGUUACAGAUUAUUUGUAGAGUUGGGCUGCUCAUAGUCAUUUUUGAGAUCAAUCUCUUUUCUUUUAUAUGUUUAUGCUCUGGUACCAAAGUCGGGUUUCCCUCCUCCCCCAGCUAAAGUAAUAUCCAUCCUGGUAGGCCAGGUACCACCAAGUGCUGACCUCCUUGGAGCUUAUUCAUCUGUUUGGUCAGCAAAUAUUUCUACAGCACAGGUGGUAAGGGACAAGUUAAGUAACAGUCGACUGGCUGACAAAUAGUUGCCAAAGCCACCAAAAGCAGAAACAGUACAGUCUUCUCCCUCAGAGGGCUGUGCUCCUCUAUGGCAUCCUUGAGCUGUCCAGAGAGCCCUCAGCCUGUUCUGCCCAGAGAAGGCCCAGGGAGGAGGUGGCUUGUGGGGAGCCAGGCAGGGCAGCAGGGCCUGGGCAGGACCCCUGCCUCCUAACUUCCAGGAGCUUCCUACACUCCCAGCCUCUCAAGGGAUGGAUGAUUGAAGCCAUGGUAGGUGGUGCUUUGCCUCUUCUUAUCUCCUGUUGCUAAGGUAUCCAAGUGAGCAUGAAACAGAAAUAAGCCAUGUGAUCUGGCUGCCUCCCACCCACGUGGCCAGACAGCCCCCAACUUGGCCAGAGAGGCACCGUCAGGCCAUCGAUCAGGCUGAACCUGUGUUGAGGGUGGGGUGUCAGGGACUCCCCAAGGAGAAAUGACUGAGCUGGGUGGCAGCUGAUAGUCUCUGAACACUGUUUCUGGGCAAAGAUGUUGAAGCUGGAUUGGGGGACAGAGGUUAAGGAUUGAAAUGACUACAGUAUGCAGCUGUCAGAAUGGGAAUGGCUAGAAUCCUCUGGGGCCCAGGUUCUCCCUGCUUGUCCUUGGUUUACUAAGGGAAUCUACAGAACUUGAGGGAAGGAAGCACAGCCUCUCUCACCCCUUGAAAUCUGCGCCUCUAGCUUCCCUGCUUGCCCUCAAGAUGGGCCCUUCCAAGCUUUCGGACAGGGGCCUUUCUUAAGGAGCAGCACAGUACUGUGGGGAUGAGGGCAAGGUCAUCUGUGAGUGAGGCAGCUCCUCGUGGGCCACAGAGAGGGGAGCUAAUCAGGAGAGAGGAGAGGUGCUGGGCAGACCAACCCAAAGACUGACCCCUGCAAGGUCUCCCUCCAACUUCAAGGCUCAACUCAACAGUGACCUUCCCUGGGAGUUCCCGUUGUGGCUCUGCGGAAACGAAUCCGACGAGGAACCAUGAGGUUGCGGGUUCGAUCCCAGGCCUCACUCAGUGGAUUAAGGAUCCAGCAUUGCCAUGAGCUGUGGUAUAGGUCACAGACACGGCUCAGAUCUGGUGUUGCUAUGGCUGUGGUGUAGGCUGGUAGCUCUGAUUAGACCCCUAGGCUGGGAACCUCCAUAUGCCUGGGGUGCAGCCCUAAAAAUCAAAACAAUAACAAAAACAAAAAACAAUGACCUACCCUAAAAGUCCUUGCAAAUCUACCUGGCCUGGAAAUACCACUUUUCUCCUCUCUACUCAUCCAGUGUUUUCAUCUAUACCUCUCUGUGCACUUAGCACCUGUUUAUUAUGUCCUCACCUUUUGAAUAAUUUUUAUUACGCAAAUACUAAUGUAUGUUCAUUGAAGGAAAAAUUAUAAACACAGACACCC
ensembl:lncRNA